UAUUGCACAAUGGGGGAAACCCUGAUGCAGCGACGCCGCGUGGAGGAAGAAGGUUUUCGGAUUGUAAACUCCUGUCGUUAGGGACGAUAAUGACGGUACCUAACAAGAAAGCACCGGCUAACUACGUGCCAGCAGCCGCGGUAAAACGUAGGGUGCAAGCGUUGUCCGGAAUUACUGGGUGUAAAGGGAGCGCAGGCGGACCGGCAAGUUGGAAGUGAAAUCCAUGGGCUCAACCCGUGAAUUGCUUUCAAAACUGCUGGCCUUGAGUAGUGCAGAGGUAGGUGGAAUUCCCGGUGUAGCGGUGGAAUGCGUAGAUAUCGGGAGGAACACCAGUGGCGAAGGCGACCUACUGGGCACCAACUGACGCUGAGGCUCGAAAGCAUGGGUAGCAAACAGG
rnacentral:rRNA from 1 species